CGCAUGCGCAGGGCGGCCCGCGCGGCCCGGUGGGGUGGUGAUUCCGUCUCGUCCGGUCCCUUCCCUCAUGUCGGCUCCCUUCGAGGAGCGCAGCGGGGUGGUGCCCUGCGGGACGCCCUGGGGCCGCUGGUACCAGACCCUGGAGGAGGUGUUCAUCGAGGUGCAGGUGCCGCCGGGCACCCGGGCCAAGGACGUCUGCUGCAACCUGCAGAGCCGGCACAUCGCGCUGUCCGUGCGGGGCCAGGACGUGCUGCAGGGUAAACUUUUUGACUCGACGGUAACUGAUGAAGGAACGUGGACGUUAGAAGACAGGAAGCUGAUACGAAUUGUUCUAAUGAAGACAAACCGAGAUGCUGGAAAUUGUUGGACGUCUCUGCUAGAAAAUGAAUAUGCUGCUGAUCCUUGGGUACAGGACCAGAUGCAGAGGAAACUUACACUGGAGCGAUUCCAAAGAGAGAACCCUGGAUUUGACUUCAGCGGGGCAGAAAUUUCUGGAAAUUACAGCAAAGGAGGACCAGACUUUUCUAGUCUUGAAAAGUAAACUGCUUUUGUCUGUGUUCCCUGAGAGGAAUUUCUCAUUACACGUAAGGGCUGGAAUCAUGUAACUGGGGAAGGCUUCAGCGAUCUCUUCAAUGGAUUGCUGUCAAGUCGUUACUUCAGUGAACAGAAAGAUCUCUUCCAGUAGAAUGAAGACAAAGUAUUACCAGCUGAUUUAUAAACUGUGAUAACUUUCUAAUACUGAGGGACAAACUAGAGAGAAAGGUGUACACAAAAAGUAACAUCUUGAAGCAGGACACAGCUGAGAAGCACUCCAACCACAGCAAUAUGGAGCUGAGAAGCACUCCAACCACAGAAUGAAGGCUGGGUCAAACAGGCUAACAGAGGAAGAAGACUUGAUUGCCAAAUCCUGUUGUAGUCUGAACACUGAAACUAUUGCCUAUAUUUAAGUCCUCAGCAGAAAUCUCACUGGUGAUAAAUUGUCAGCAGCUGUGCAUCAUGCUGCUGAGCCUUAUUUCUAAAAUUGCAUCAUUAUUUCAGUUGGCACAUGGCAAAAAUAAAGCAGUAGUUGAGGAAGAAUGAUUUCAUUUUAAUUACAUCCACUGCUUUCUUGUAAGAACAAGCAAGCAUUAAUAGUCCUGAAAUGAAGCGUGUACUCAUGUCAUCUUUACGGAAUGUGAAGUAGGUCCAUACGCUGUGCUCUGGUUGUAGAGAACUUGCCUUACUAUGCAAAGGAAAGUAGUGUGGUAUCGAACGCUGAUUUCUGGCCAUGAAGUGCUGUAUCUUUACCAUGAUCCUAGUAUAAAAGGUGGACAGUAUAGUUAAGAAAUGAACAAGACUGAUAAAAAAAUUAACUGAGGACAGAGAUAGAAAACAGUUAAUGUUGCAUUAAAAUGCUGAAGUACGAUCCAGUGAAACAGUAUUUUUUGUUACAGCAGUUGGUUUGCAUAGGGUGGUUUUGUAUGUCUUUUGGUUAUAGAAGUUUAGAAUGCCAUCUGAUACUUCAGUGCAUGAACUUAUAUUUGCUAUAUGCAUUUUCAAAGCUAAACAUACCCAUAGUUUCUGCUUUAUGAAGUAGCAUGAGUCAUCCUACAGCUAAGUCAAGGAGAGAGACCAACUGUUUAGAAUGUACUGUGGCAUCACAGUUCUGAAUUGUUUUAAAAGGAGAGGUGUGAACUACUGGGUUAGCUACUUUGAUCAUAUCCUGUAAGUUAGAAGCCUCCAGUUUAGAAGAAUAUAGAUGAAAAGAUCUCAAAGGAUUUAGAGUAAUUGUGGUCCAAGUUGCAAUAAUUUUUAUCAAGCAUCUCGAGUUUUUCCUGUUGGUUCUCCAGCCUUCCCCAUGCAGCUUCAACCUCUUAAAAAAGGAAAAUUUGAGAGUAUCUCCAUGAUCUCUUAUGCCCUGUCUGGAAGUUUUCCAGGUACUGUUCAGAUAUAAGUCACUUUAUAGGCUUUCUACUAAGAUGUUCUAUAACAAAUAGGAAAAGAAGUCACACAGUUAAGCACAUUUCAACGUUUAAGUGAAAGGUCCAUAUUUUAAUAUUGAGGCAUGACAAUUAGAAUUGCACACUGCAUCUUCACCAUCUCUCCCAGUAGAAUGACCACACCUUUGUUCAAAUCACUUGUACGCUUUUCACAGGCCAGCACAAUGCACAGAUAGCACUGGCAGUUACAAAAACCAAUUACAUGUUAUGCGGUGCAAUCACUCUGAGUUCAUGAGAAGGUUUGAUUUGUCCAAUACAGAGCUUUGGUAUGAAGUCUUCUAUGAAAGGUUUAACUAGUUUAUGAUAUUAAAAGAAUGGUUUCCCCCUCAGCAUAAAAGGGAAAGGGUUGCCUGGCUAACACCUAAAACCACUCCAAAUUCAGAACAUUCUGAUCUCUCCUUAUCCACUAAGUCAGUUCAUAUGGCAAUCCGUUACUAACAGCACAUCGCUAACAGCCUCUGCUCCACAGUGAGGCAGCAUUCAAGAGGUCAUUAGCAACAUUCCCUCAACACCUCUAUUCAUCUUACAUACAAUAAUACAUUCUUAUUAUUCACUUCCUUGUUAGCACUAGAACCGUGAUAUGCUUCAAGUACUGACCUGGUCUUCAAAAAAACAGUUGUAUUUUAAGCAGCUUAUCAUUAAAGAGAUCAGAGUUGAAGCAAUCUUCAGUGUUUCUUGAUUGCUCCUAUGUACAGGUCAAGAUGGGACAUUAGCCCUGCUCCUACUGUGCCUAUAAAAAUGUACCUGUUCAGCAUACCUUGUACAGUGAAACUUUGGAGAACUGAUGUCAGAUUUAGGGCAGGUGACCCACUACUUUCCCUCAGCCUUCACCAAGUAUCACGAAGCUUUUACACUCUAUGACAUAGUUCCUAACCUCAGUAAACUACCCCUCUUAGAAAAUACUGAAAUUAAUGAUGCUGUGUUAGUGACUACCCUUUUAUAAGGGAAUGAACUAACGUUUCUCUUUUCUUCUGCUUUAACUACUUGACAUGUUUGGCGGGUAUCACAUAGCCUAGUUUUUAAUGUGUCUAUGGUAGAAGGCCAGUGUCCUGCCCAGCAGGAACAUAUGGACACAUGACACUGCCCAAACAGCAUGUUAGGUGGACUGACAGGCAUUUGCCACUGUCAUCAGUAUUGAGCAGGGUUAGUCUUUAGUUUGAUUAAGACAGUGCAGCACAGUGCUAGUGUCAUGUAAUCUUUGGAACCAGAUUUUUAAAAUUAAAUAUACAGUUCAGUACCUCCAGUUACAGUAAGCCAAAGUUAGACUACACAAGAUGCUCUGCAAACUAUGAGGUGUUAAAAUUCCAUGUAUCAGUAUUGUGGUAUUUCACUAUACAGUAAACAGCCUAACAAAUUAGACUGAAAACUGACACUGAAUAUUGUUGUAAUCAUCAUGAAAAGAACAUAUUUGCUGGAAGGAUCUUUUAGUCUGAGAUGUUACAUAUUCUUUCCAUGAGUUGAGUUCUUCAUUAUUAAGAUCAUGGUUCAGACUUCGUUUCUCAAAUAUUCACGUGUCUGUUGACAAGGUCACAGCAUGGUUCUCUCCUCAUUUUAUUGUACUCCUGUAAAAAAAUCCAAACCAGUCAACUGAAGGCUUUCUACAAGAACGAAACAAAGUAUCAGACUUUAAUAUAGCAAGACAACAACAAACAGCUGUUAUAGAAAAUAUACGGCUUUUGGAAUUACAGUCUUGAUAAGGAAGUAGUUCACAAUUUCUACAGAGUAAAAAAUCCCCAGUAAUAUGAAUAACUGAAUUACAGUUUUUAGACUUAACUAAUCAGAGAGUUAUACCAGUAAUACUAUAGAACUGCCUUCCUUUUAAGUGGUUUGAGUGAAAGAUUAAAAUAAACUCAUUCUAAUAGGCAA